rnacentral:rRNA from 1 species
UACGUAGGGUGCGGGCGUUGUCCGGAAUUAUUGGGCGUAAAGAGCUUGUAGGCGGUCUGUCGCGUCUGCUGUGAAAAUCCGGGGCUCAACCCCGGACUUGCAGUGGGUACGGGCAGACUAGAGUGUGGUAGGGGAGACUGGAAUUCCUGGUGUAGCGGUGAAAUGCGCAGAUAUCAGGAGGAACACCGAUGGCGAAGGCAGGUCUCUGGGCCACUACUGACGCUGAGAAGCGAAAGCGUGGGGAGCGAACAGG